AAGAAAAAAACCGGCUCCAAACCCUAAUAUAUACUCCAAAGUGGUGACCAAAACCUAAAUCACCCAUUCUGAAACAAACAAUCACCUGAUUAACAAACAUUCUAAGAUAUUAACAUUCUGAGACAAACAAAAAUAUUAAUCAGCUGAUUAACGAAGAAAAAUAUCAUGGGGGUGGCUGUGGAAGGUGUGGUGGACUGGUGGUGUUGUUUACCGGUGCGGGGGCAGUGGUAGCCAUUUCCUCUUUGUAUGCCACUACCAUUUUGCAUCACAUCCUUUCCCAAGCCUUGGAUGGCUUUCCCCAAUGCCGCCAAUCGAUCUGCAAAAAAACAGUUUAAAACAAGAUGUGAAGAUCAAGUUUAGAAUCAAAAUGUGCAGGCCAACAUCCCAUCAAUCACUGACAGCUUACUAGUUUCAUAAUAAAAAUGAAGGGACAAUAUAGAUGUUUGAAUAUUACUUACAGAAGAAGAUGUUCUGGAUCCCAAGUUGGAUUUGAGAGAAUAGAUCAUUAUAACACAAAUUCCUGUCAAAACCAAAUAAAAAAAAAAAAAAAUGUAUUAUGUUUCUAAAUUUCUUAACACAAAAUAAAUUUCAUUGAUAUAUAUAUAUGGUGAAAGUUUUCAAAGAAAACUUACUUUUGUUACCUCUGAGGCUACACUCAUGGAGUCAUGGAACAUGAAAUAAAUGAAAAAGAUGGAAAGAAGAAGAAGAUAAUG
rnacentral:lncRNA from 1 species